GUAUAAGUUUUUGCUUUAUUAUAUUUUUUUAAUAUAAAGUCACCCAGCCUAUUGGGUCUAUCAAAUCUUCUGAGAUGUUUGUCUGACCUCUGCUGGUGGAACUGCAUACAGACAAGGUUAUUUUACUGAAUAAAGUAGAAGAGGCAGCUGCUGUUGAGCAUUACGAUAUUGCAAAGAUCAGGAAGGAUGAAGGUAGGAAGACAUUGAAGAGGAUAGUAGAGAAAGGCUCUGGGUCCUGAUUUUUAUUUUAUUUUUUUUCCACCUCGCAGUUUAAUUAAAAAUGAACGAGAUUUAAUUUGCACGGAUACAGGGAAAUGAGGUAAAGUAACAACAGUCCUUAUACGUUGGCACUGAGUUCAUAUAAUUGUUAUAUAUAGAACAGAAUAAUAUGUAGUUUUCAAUGUUUUAUCUCUUUCCCCGUGAAAACAAAUAGCACUUCUCAGGACGGAGUCUGUUGUGUUCCGUGUCGUAUCCCAGCAACCCUGGAAUGUACCAUUUUGAGGUUAUUUCCGAAAAGUUUUGUAAGGGUUCUUUUGGUUAGGCUCAGGCGGCACUAGCUGAUCCAUCCAUCUUCCGUUAACACACUGCUGGUGGAAGGAGUUUAGUCUCAACAUUUUCUUGUUUGGACGGAGAAGACACAAAAAAAUCAGGAGAUGGAGAACUUCAUUUUGUACGAGGAGCUUGGAAAAGGCCAUAACUCUUUUGUUUAUAAGGGAAGAAGGAAGGGGAGUCUCAACUUUGUAGCCAUCAUCUGCACAGACAAAAGCAAAAAAUGGGAGAUUACUAAUCGUGUCAGACUCAGCCAUGAUCUGGAUCAUCCUAAUAUAGUACGCUACAAUGAGUGGUAUGAAACACACAAGCAUCUGUGGCUGGUCGUGGAACUCUGUACAGGUGGCUCCCUUCAGGCGCUGGUUGCUCAGGAUGGAGGUCUAUCAGAGGAUGUGGUGAAACGUUUUGGUUGGGACUUGGUCAAGGGAUUAAAGUACAUUCAUGAGUCAGAAAUUAUUCUGUCUGACCUGACACCUGCCAAGAUCCUUUUAGAUGGAAGUGGCAUUCUGAAGUUGGGCAACUUUUGUCUUUCCAAGGCAAAAGGAGAGACAGUGGAGCAGAUCAUCUCUUUGCUUUCUGAUUCUGAGGAAGGAGGAGAAGUCAAGAGUGUGGGUGACUUUAACAGUAUGAGGAAAAGAUUUCAAGGUCAUUUAGCUUACAAAGCACCAGAAAUUGUGCAGGGCUCAGAAGCAACUGUAAGCUCUGAUUUUUGGGCUCUUGGUUGUGUCCUCUACUAUAUGUACACAGGAAAUCCUCCUUUUUUCUCUGAGAGCAACACUGAGCUGACAGAGAUGUUGUUGAACCAGGAGCCACUCCCUCCCAGAAAGACCUGUCCUCCAAGUCCUGACUUCCAUAGUCUUUUGAAAGGAUUACUCACCAAAAAUCCAGAGGAAAGGUUUUGCUGGUCAGAGCUGCUGGAUCAUGCUUUCUGGAAAGAAGUAAUACAGGAGGAAAACAACAAGAAAGUAGAGUCCUUUAAGAUGGGUCAUAAACCCAGCAGCUACUCAUCAUUUUCACAGUUGAAACCAUCAAUGUCUUCAAAUACAAGUGCAUCAACCAUAAGACCAUGUAACACAAACACAGAUGGACAACGAUCCAUGGAACAAAUGUUAUGUGGACAACUAAGGAAUAGUGAAGCCAUGCGGAAGACAAUAACAGUCAAAGGCAGCCAAGAGGAGUGGGAGACAGAGGCUGGAGAUGACCCUGAGCUAACUGGUGUGGAGCAAACGCACCAAACAUCACAGCGUAGUAAAUCAUUUACGGCAGAUAAUUCAAGGGAGCUGAAGCCAAAGAGUGGUAUGGAUAAUGACAGCGCAGAAGCCAUUUUCCUCCAUAGCUCCUGUGCCAAGACGAGAGGAAACCACAACACACCAGACUCUCUAAAUCACAUCAGUUCAGCCGAGAUUUGCACAAGGACAGGUAUCGCAGACUGUGUGAGGAGUCUUCUACACAAUGAAUCUGAUCUGACUGUUACUCCAAUCAUUGAUAAUCCUAAGAUUGUUAAGAGUGCUUCAGUACGAUUUGAUCCCAAAACCCUUUGUGUACCAGCCUAUUCAGUUGAGAAGUUGAUUUCUCUGAGUGAAGAAGAGUGGAGUAGCUUCCUUCUACAACUUUGUUCGUCCCUUGAGGAAAAGCGCCCAUCCACUACACAACCUUCCUCUCAGUCCACAGCCAUUCGAUCCAAACUAAACUUGCUGUGCUAUCUCUGCUGUGUGGCUGGACAUACUGCAGUUGCUGACAAGCUAAUUAACUCAACACUGCUUCAAGUGUUGACCAAAGAGUUGCGAAGAGCACCUAACUGGGAUCUGCGAAGCAAAGUUCUUCGAGUCAUGGGUCUUCUAGCUCUGCACUGCAGUCAUCUAGAAGAGAGUAGCCAUGUUUGUGAGGCUGUGUCCAUGCUGACAGACCUGCUGAGGGAAAAUCUCAGAAACAGCAAACUGAAGCAGUUCCUGAUCCCACCACUUGGGGAGUUCCUCUACCUCAUCUGCUCUCAGGAGGAGAAGAGAGGAUCCCCAGAGGGACUGUGGUUCGUUCCCGCUGCCGCCUACACUGGCUUAAUGAGGAGCCUGCGGGAAGGGGACGAUGCCAUCGUUCAUCAUAUGGUUGCCAAAGUCGUAGAGAACAUCUCCACAGUGGUGUCUGGCCCCUCUCAUCCUCUGGUGACCACAGAAAUGGGCUCCGCCCUCUGGUACCUUUUUACCCACUCUAGUGUGGAGGCGGUUAGAGUCACUGCCAUCUCUUCUCUUUCUCGGUUAACCCGGGUGAAUCCAGCAGUCUUCCUGUCAGUGCUGGACACCUGUGGCCCUGCAGCUGUUAUGGAGGGCAUGGGAGGACCAGGGGCCAGGGUGCAGCAGCACCUGCUCACUGCUAUGGCCACUGUCCUGCUCACCUCAACCACCCAGACCCGCCGCAUUUCACAGAACCAGGAGUUGGUCUUGAAGGUGUUGCGCUGUCUGGAGAGUCCAUCUGCAGCAACACGAGCAAAAGCUUUACUGUUACUACUGAUUCUAAUACAGGACAACAAACAAACUCUACUUUACUGCUGUCAGAACAGACUUGUUCUGUACCUGGAGAGAGACCUGCGUAAAGCUAUUCCCCUCAGAGACAACCCUGGACAGUCAGGAUACCUGUGUCAGUGCCUGGAUUUACUCAUCAUCCAUCUGAGCACAGCUGCACAAGCAGUGAUGGAUGAUGUCUUAAACUUGUUAAGAGGUGUUGUUGGGAGGAGACACCCAUCCAAAGCUCAGAGUAAACAGAUGAAACAGACCUUACCAACUAUUUGUGUAGUGCUAAACCUUCUUUUAUCUCAGGUUUUCAGAGGUAAAAUUGUAACCAAAGACUUUCUGAUCCAAAUGGGAUUUAUGCUGAACUUUCUUACCACUGUGGAUUCCAGUGAACUUGAGUUGACCAAUUUUAUGGGUGCUACAUUAGCCGAGGAGCUUAUUAGGACAACUCUGUCCAUUGUGGAGGUUUUGAGUCAACACUAUACUCUCAUCAGUCCAUAUCACUCUAUUGUGGUGCAGGAUCUUCUACCGCCCCUGACAACGUUAGCUUUCAGCAAAAACGCGGAGUGGUCUGUGUUUGUGCUGAAGGUGCUGUCUGAACUCAGCUUGGUCCUGCUUGUUCAAGAUGAUGAUCACACCGAGGAAAAAGAGGAAAGGACAAGGCAAACGAAAGAGAUGGAGGAAACGGGAGAAAACACAGCUGAAGGCAGAGAGGAUGGAGGGCUGUGUGGUCAAAUCCUAUCCCUCCUUUCUAAGUCUCUUCUUUCAAGGUAUGAUAUUCUUCUCGCUGCAGCUGAGCCUAUCCCCCUCUACGCACUCAAACUGCUGGUCUCAUUGACAGAACACAACACUCAGAUCUGCAGGUUGAUCUCACAUGGCAGGAUUCUACCAAUGGUUUUCAAUCUGAUUAUGGCCAACAGUGUCACUAGUGGAAUAGUCCAGACUGCACUUGUGUUGCUGUGCAAUCUCAGUGGAAACACAGUGUUUGACCAACAGCUGCAGCAUCAUGAAGGGCUUAUAAAAGUCGUGGUGAGCACCUUCUCAGAAAUAACUUCACUCUACUUGGAUGGAGAGAGCCACACAGGGAGGAAGGUUAACUAUCUUCUGUUGCAAGCCCUUUUGGAGCUUCUUCACAACAUCCUGAAGCAAACAUCUGUUGUAGUCCGAGGUGCUUUGCAGAGCCAGAGGCUAUCUUAUCCAGCAGCAGAGACAGAGGCAGCAGAGAAACUGCUCGUAGCCAACCGACCCCUGAGUCAGCUCAGCACACUCCUCAUUCAGAUGCUGCCAACAGAAAAUCAAGAGGUGUGGGAGGAAUCUGUUCAGUGUCUGUCCUUACUUGUCCAGCUGUAUGCCGGAGAAGGUCACGACUGCUUGUCCCCUUCCGGUCUGCAAAGCUUGUCACAAAUGCUGCGAGUUCACAUGCAGGCGGAGACGCCAAGAACGCAACGCACGGCUCUCAAGAUCAUUAAACGACUGAUACAGACUACAGACAGAUCUGACUGGUCAGACUCUCCUGAGGGGGCGGAGCUAAUCGCUGUGUUACAGGAUAUGACUUCAUCCAACAGAUGAAAGCGCAGAUCAGCUCUCGCCUUUGAAGUGGCCGGGACCGGCACCCUCCCACUGGUUCAGCAGCCGAGAGAGGGGAGCAGAGGUUUUAGGAGAAAAGGGCAGGAGAUGAGAGGAGUUAUGUGGAGGGAGGAGGAGAGGAAGGGACAGGAAGAGAUGGGUGAGGUUUUAAUUGAAAGGAUAAGGAGAAGAUUGGAGUGUUGGGAGGGAAAGCCGAGAUCCUAACCCUGAUAAUGUCAUUAAGCCUUUACCAUGGCAACCUGAGGAAUGCUUUUUCAAAACUCUCCGAGGGCAGGAGAGGAGGGGAAGGAGGGCGUCACUCAUAGUUCCCAUUCCUGAAGACGAGCCUGGAGGAUCAGAACCUGAUCCUGGUGGACUGCUGCUCUGAGUCAAAGCCAGAAGAAAACCAGCCCUCCAGUAUCUGCACCGACAUCUCAGUAGAGCUGCUCUGAGAACACACAACUCUUCCAGUGUUGGAUAUAACUUUUAUGAAGCAGCAACGGUGCAGCACAAAGCUCACACGAUAGUGGAAUUGUGAAGCUUUUGCUGAUAUUGAUUUUUGCAAAAGUGAUGGGGGAAUUUUUUUGUAUACCACACAGUAGCUAGCAGCUUGCUAUGAAGAGCCUCUUGAUCUGGAUGGCUGCUGCCUCUGCCACAUGUACACACUUCUACUCGCCUGAUGUCAUGCUGAUGUGGCUCCACUGGCUGCUGAGAUGCUUCAAGAGAUUCUGAGAUAUUAAGAGGCUCCAUCUUCAAAUCAUAAUUUAAUCUAAUUUACUGAAUACUUUUGUUUCAUUUAAACUUACAAAAAAAAGUUAUUUAAAUGACUUGUUUUCUUAUUGUGUAAGAAUACUCAGUGUGUGUCAAAUAAAGUUGUCCUUAUACAAACACCGUAUGGCAACAAUGUUGUAGUUUAACAGCCUUUUUCUGUUUGCAUCGCUGACUGUAACACAGGGCUUCAACUGUUCAGCACAAGUUUAAGAGAUGUUUUAAUUCAGACAUCUGUCAGAAGAAGGCAACACGUCCCUAAUGCUUCAGUUCCUUCCUCGUGGAGAAUAGAAAAAUGUAAGUUUUAAACUGACCUGUUUCUAGUAUAAAAUACCACCAUCUCUCUGUCAUAGGCCGCUUUAGUGUCUGAAGAGCAGGUUUUAGUUUGUAACAGAGGUCAAAGGACACAUCCAGGUGAAAUGACAGUCCAUUUUAUUGUUUCAGAACACAGCAGGCUACAGCAACCAGCGCCUCUUACUACCUUAAACCUUAGUAACAGCAUACCAACAGUGGCACUUCUCCACCCUGGUAACCCCCUCCCCACCCGUCAGCUCCAUCAGCUAAACCCCCUUUGGAACAGCAGAGACACAUCAGUGUCCGUCUUUAAAGCAAGAAAAUAGCUCAAUAUUUGGACCAUGAUUUCCAAUUCAUGUGUUUUAUACAAAAGCUACACAAUGUUACACUUCAUCAGAGUACAGCUGAUUAACUUUAGUGUUUCAACACCAUUUAAAAUAUGUUCCAAGUCUUGACUUGGAUGGAACAUCACCACUAAACGAAAAACAAAAGAGAAAUCAAAACACUACUCGACUUAAAAUACAAGGGAUUGCAAAAACAGAAGAUGAGUUAUAAUGCACAGAAAUGAAGGAGGGGAAAAAAUGCAAGCAAUGUUUGGUUUGUACCAUUACAGACUCUGAGAAAAUAGAAUAAAAAA